rnacentral:rRNA from 1 species
CCUACGGGUGGCAGCAGUGAGGAAUAUUGGUCAAUGGACGCAAGUCUGAACCAGCCAUGCCGCGUGCAGGAAGACGGCUCUAUGAGUUGUAAACUGCUUUUGUAGGAGGGUAAACGCAGAUACGCGAAUAAGUCUGAAAGGAUCGUACGAAUAAGGAUCGGCUAACACCGUGCCAGCAGACGCGGUAAUACGGAGGAUUCAAGCGUUAUCCGGAUUUAGUGGGUUUAAAGGGUGCGUAGGCGGUCGGAUACGUUAGAGGUGCCAUCCCGAGGCUCAACUUCGGAAUUGCCUCUGAUACUGUUCGGCUAGAGCGUAGUUGCGGUAGGCGGAAUGU